rnacentral:misc_RNA from 1 species
AGCAGCCGCGGUAAUUCCAGCUCCAAUAGCGUAUAUUAAAGUUGCUGCAGUUAAAAAGCUCGUAGUUGAAUUUCGGGACUAAUAUGUCGGUCGUGCCUCGGUACGUACUGGUUUAUUGGUUUCUCCUUUCUGAAGAACCAUGAUGUCAUUUAUUUGGUGUCGUGGGGAAUCAGGACUGUUACUUUGAAAAAUUAGAGUGUUUAAAGCAGGCUCACGCUUGAAUACAUUAGCAUGGAAUAAUGAAAUAGAACGUUUGAUUCUAUUUUGUUGGUUUCUAGGAUCGACGUAAUGAUUAAUAGGGAUAGUUGGGGGCAUUAGUAUUCAAUUGUCAGAGGUGAAAUUCUUGGAUUUAUUGAAGACUAACUACUGCGAAAGCAUUUGCCAAGGAUGUUUUCAUUAAUCAAGAACGAAAGUUAGGGGAUCGAAGACGAUCAGAUACCGUCGUAGUCUUAACCAUAAACUAUGCCGACUAGGGAUCGGAUGAUGUUAAUUUUUAAUGACUCAUUCGGCGCCUUAAC